GUGCUGGGGUUGUCGCUGAACUUUGAAGGGUCGUGCACGCCUCGGUGCUUUCACACACAAUCCAUCUCACCCCUUUUGUGCAUCACCGCGUGGGGGUCCCUUUUAGCUAGUUCUGAAGGGGGCUUUCGCGUUUUUACAAACACACCCUUUUAAUGCAAUAUGUAGAAUGUCUUACUUUUUGCGAUCACACGCAAUCAAUACAACUUUCAACAACGGAUCUCUUGGCUCUCGCAUCGAUGAAGAACGCAGCGAAAUGCGAUACGUAAUGUGAAUUGCAGAAUUCAGUGAAUCAUCGAAUCUUUGAACGCACCUUGCGCCCUUUGGCAUUCCGAAGGGCACACCCGUUUGAGUGUCGUGACAUCCUCAAACCUUCUUGGUUUCUUGACUGAGAAGGCUUUGGACUUUGGAGGCUUUUGCUGGACCUUUGCUUGUUGAAGCCAGCUCCUCUUAAAUGAAUUAGUGGGGUCUGCUUUGCUGGUCCUUGACGUGAUAAGAUGCUUCUACGUCUUGGGUUACGCACUGUUUGCUAUAGAUCCUGCUUCUAACCGUCUCAUAGAAGACAAACGGUCGACUUGACCCACAAACCUUGACCUCAAAUCGGGUGAGACUACCCGCUGAACUUAAGCAUAC
rnacentral:rRNA from 1 species